GAUGAACGCUGGCGGCGUGCCUAAUACAUGCAAGUCGAGCGAACGGACGAGAAACUUGCUUCUCUGAUGUUAGCGGCGGACGGGUGAGUAACACGUGGAUAACCUACCUAUAAGACUGGGAUAACUUCGGGAAACCGGAGCUAAUACCGGAUAAUAUUUUGAACCGCAUGGUUCAAAAGUGAAAGACGGUCUUGCUGUCACUUAUAGAUGGAUCCGCGCUACAUUAGCUAGUUGGUAAGGUAACGGCUUACCAAGGCAACGAUGCAUAGCCGACCUGAGAGGGUGAUCGGCCACACUGGAACUGAGACACGGUCCAGACUCCUACGGGAGGCAGCAGUAGGGAAUCUUCCGCAAUGGGCGAAAGCCUGACGGAGCAACGCCGCGUGAGUGAUGAAGGUCUUCGGAUCGUAAAACUCUGUUAUUAGGGAAGAACAUAUGUGUAAGUAACUGUGCACAUCUUGACGGUACCUAAUCAGAAAGCCACGGCUAACUACGUG
rnacentral:rRNA from 1 species